rnacentral:rRNA from 1 species
GAUGAACGCUGGCGGCGUGCCUAAUACAUGCAAGUCGAGCGAACAGAUGAGGAGCUUGCUCCUCUGACGUUAGCGGCGGACGGGUGAGUAACACGUGGAUAACCUACCUAUAAGACUGGGAUAACUUCGGGAAACCGGAGCUAAUACCGGAUAAUAUUUUGAACCGCAUGGUUCAAUAGUGAAAGACGGUCUUGCUGUCACUUAUAGAUGGAUCCGCGCCGCAUUAGCUAGUUGGUAAGGUAACGGCUUACCAAGGCAACGAUGCGUAGCCGACCUGAGAGGGUGAUCGGCCACACUGGAACUGAGACACGGUCCAGACUCCUACGGGAGGCAGCAGUAGGGAAUCUUCCGCAAUGGGCGAAAGCCUGACGGAGCAACGCCGCGUGAGUGAUGAAGGUCUUCGGAUCGUAAAACUCUGUUAUUAGGGAAGAACAAAUGUGUAAGUAACUGUGCACAUCUUGACGGUACCUAAUCAGAAAGCCACGGCUAACUACGUG